AAAAAAUAAAAUAAAAUUUUUAAAUUCAAUGACAGCUGGAUUAGUCGGGCCUGGUUUUGCUAGCAAAACUUGUUUAUUAAUUGAUUUACAGUCAUAUUCGAGUGACCCAAUUAUCAAUGGGGGUUUAUACAAUUAAUUCCUGUAAAUCCAUAUAUCAGAAUUCCUAAAUCUUAAAAUGACGCAAUGACACGAAUUAUUAACCCUAAUCAAUAUGCUUCCUCUAACUGAGCUAAAAUCAACUCAGAUUUGCAUUUGACAGUGUGUAUCAACUUAUUUCAAAAAGAGUUUUAGGCUACUUGUCAUAAUUAAAAAGUA
rnacentral:misc_RNA from 1 species